rnacentral:rRNA from 1 species
AACGAACGCUGGCGGCAUGCCUAACACAUGCAAGUCGAACGAACCCUUCGGGGUUAGUGGCGCACGGGUGCGUAACACGUGGGAAUCUGCCCUUUGCUUCGGAAUAACAGUUAGAAAUGACUGCUAAUACCGGAUAAUGUCUUCGGACCAAAGAUUUAUCGGCAAAGGAUGAGCCCGCGUAGGAUUAGCUUGUUGGUGAGGUAAAGGCUCACCAAGGCGACGAUCCUUAGCUGGUCUGAGAGGAUGAUCAGCCACACUGGGACUGAGACACGGCCCAGACUCCUACGGGAGGCAGCAGUGGGGAAUAUUGGACAAUGGGCGAAAGCCUGAUCCAGCAAUGCCGCGUGAGUGAUGAAGGCCUUAGGGUUGUAAAGCUCUUUUACCAGGGAUGAUAAUGACAGUACCGGGAGAAUAAGCUCCGGCUAACUCCGUG